UACGUAGGGUGCAAGCGUUAAGUCGGAAUGACUGGGCGUAAAGGGUGCGCAGGCGGUCUGCUAAGACAGAGGUGAAAUCCCCGGGCUUAACCUGGGAAUGGCCUAUGGUGACUGGCAGGCUAGAGGAUGGCAGAGGGAGGCGGAAUGCCACGUGUAGCAGUGAAAUGCGUAGAGAUGUGGCGGAACACCGAUGGCGAAGGCAGCCUCCUGGGCCAAUCCUGACGCUCAGGCACGAAAGCGUGGGGAGCAAACAGG
rnacentral:rRNA from 1 species